rnacentral:rRNA from 1 species
GACGAACGCUGGCGGCGUGCUUAACACAUGCAAGUCGAACGGUAAGGCCCCAGCUUGCUGGGGUACACGAGUGGCGAACGGGUGAGUAACACGUGGGUGACCUGCCCCGCACUUCGGGAUAAGCCUGGGAAACUGGGUCUAAUACCGGAUAGGACCGCACCGUGAGGGUGGGGUGGAAAGUUUUUCGGUGUGGGAUGGGCCCGCGGCCUAUCAGCUUGUUGGUGGGGUAAUGGCCUACCAAGGCGGCGACGGGUAGCCGGCCUGAGAGGGUGGACGGCCACAUUGGGACUGGGACACGGCCCAGACUCCUACGGGAGGCAGCAGUGGGGAAUAUUGCACAAUGGGCGGAAGCCUGAUGCAGCGACGCCGCGUGGGGGAUGACGGCCUUCGGGUUGUAAACUCCUUUCACCAUCGACGAAGGUUUUCGGACGGUAGAUGGAGAAGAAGCACCGGCUAACUACGG